GCUUGUCUCAAAGAUUAAGCCAUGCAUGUCUAAGUAUAAAUCUUUUACUUUGAAACUGCGAACGGCUCAUUAUAUCAGUUAUAGUUUAUUUGAUAGUCCCUUACUACUUGGAUAACCGUAGUAAUUCUAGAGCUAAUACAUGCGUCAAUACCCUUCUGGGGUAGUAUUUAUUAGAUUGAAACCAACCGCUUCGGCGUGAUGUGGUGAUUCAUAAUAAUUAAGCGGAUCGCAUGGCCUUGUGCUAGCGACAGUCCACUCGAUUUUCUGCCCUAUCAUGGUUGAGAUUGUAAGAUAGAGGCUUACAAUGCCUACAACGGGUAACGGGGAAUUAGGGUUCGAUUCCGGAGAGGGAGCCUGAGAAACGGCUACCACAUCCAAGGAAGGCAGCAGG
rnacentral:rRNA from 1 species